UGGCGAACGGGUGAGUAACACGUGGGUGAUCUGCCCUUCACUUCGGGAUAAGCCUGGGAAACUGGGUCUAAUACUGGAUAGGACCAUCGUUUAGUGUCGGUGGUGGAAAGUUUUUUCGGUGCAAGAUGAGCUCGCGGCCUAUCAGCUUGUUGGUGGGGUAAUGGCCUACCAAGGCGUCGACAGGUAGCCGGCCUGAGAGGGUGUACGGCCACAUUGGGACUGAGAUACGGCCCAG
rnacentral:rRNA from 1 species